GGAGGGACAGGCUACAACUAGAUCUGGACAGGUUACAGGGGUGGGCGGAUGAGAACAGGAUGGGUUCAACACUGACAAGUGCAAGGUGCUGCACCUGGGGAGGAGGAACCAGCAGCAGACCUACAGGCCGGGGAGCUCCCUUCUCGUCAGUGCAAAGGCAGAAAAGGAUCUUGGGGUCAUUAUAGACUCCAAGAUGAACAUGGGCCGACAGUGUGGGGAUGCAGUCAGGAAGGCCAACUGCACCUUGUCAUGCAUCCACAGAUGCAUCUCGAGCAGGUCUAAGGAGGUGAUCCUCCCCCUCUACAUGACACUGGUCAGGCCACAGUUGGAGUGCCAUGUCCAGUUCUGGGUGUUGCACUUCAGGAGGGCUGUGGACAGCAUGGAGCGGGUCCAGAGGAGGCCACCCGCAUGAUCCGGGGGCAGCAGGGCAGGCCCUACGAGGAGAGGCUACGGGACCUGAACCUGUUCAGCCUUCACAAGAGAAGGCUGAGAGGAGAUCUGGUGGCCGCCAACAAACUGGCCAAGGGGGACCAGCAGGCAAUGGGGGAAUCCCUGUUCCCUCAAGCACUACCGGGAGUAAUGAGAAAUAACAGCCAUAAGUUGACCGAGAGUAGGUUCAGGCUAGAUAUCAGGAGGCGCUACUUCACAGUCAGGGCGGCUAGGAGCUGGAACCAACUUCCAAGGGAAGUGGUGCUGGCUCCUACCCUGGGGAUCUUCAAAAGGGCUGCACAGACACCUUGCCAGGGUCGUUUGACCCCAGCACUCUUUCCUGCCCAGGGCAGGGGGCAGGACUUGAUGAUCUGCUCAGGUCCCUUCCAAGCCUACGUACUAUGAAACUAUAAAGCACUGGAAUACAUUCAUGUUCGAAAUUUUACAUGCUGUGUAAAACGGUGGGAAGACACGGAGCCUGCACUCUUUUUUGCUGAUAAUAAAGUUGAUGCAAUUGGGAAAGUCGUUGUGAGAGCGCAUGCUGACGACUUGUAUAAGCCGGGAUGGGGUUGAUGUAGGGUAUAAAGGAGUGGCCACGCUUAACCCCAGAGUGGUGAAUAGCACUAAGCUGCCGUGGUGGGGUUUUGUUCCAGACCCUACAAGAAAUGAAGGAGAGGAGAAAAUAGUGGACCCUGGGGACUUUCUAAUUGUAGGAUUGUAUCAGCGUAAUUGCUCUAACCUACCCUUUAAUUUGUCCGAUGAAUCCAAUUUGCCGUAUAGAAAUGCAUAUGAUUGUUGUUGGCCUGUAAGAGAACAGAAGUUCGUCUUUCUGCAGAGCAACCCUACAGGUCCCAGUCCCACUUCUGGUACGGUUCCAACCUGUGCAGGUGUAUGUAGCACCCUUGGGAACUACAUUGAAUAUCUAGGCUAGCCGGCCUGAAAAUGACUUGACCAAGAUUAAGCCUGAACGUAAGCCGCACAGCGUUCCCUUAUUCAAUGCAUGGCUCAGAGCUCUCCAACAGGAACCAGAUCGCGUUCAUCGUAGACGCGAUCUGCCGGACACCAUUUUGGGAGGUGCGGGAGCAGGUUCAGGAAUUUUAAGCUCCGUUGAUUUAGACGCGUUGAUGAAUAAAGCCAGCGCUGUUGCAACACUACACUCUAAAACCCCCCGGGGACGGGAACAGCACCUUGCUGAAAGCACACAAACCGGUUUGGAUACUACUGAGUUGCAAUGGCACACAUGGAGACAUUUAAAUCGUACAUUUUGGGCUCAGUAUGCCACCAUGAGGCAAAGAGUCAAUAAAGCAGCCAGAGAGAGCCCUAUGGUGUUCAGAAUAGCAAUUAUUAGCAAUCAUGAUGACUGAAAGAGAAAUGGAUUGGAUACGUGCUAAAGAGAUGGCUGUCAUAGCUCCUUUAUUGACAAAACAUAAUGUGUUCCUUCCGUAUAUACUGCAGUGGUAUAAGCCUUUAACACUGCAGAUAUUUGUCACAUCCCUAACCGGUCUUUUGUGCAUACAAGCGAUUCGAGCACUAUCCCACUACGCCCUGGCGUGUUGUGGCCAUUCACAGCCCUCCCAACCAUUCAAGGGCAGCAUAUUUGGGUUCCAGGACUAAUUGGCAAAUACCUAAAUGAUCAAGGUAAUAUUGUAGACCAUGGGAUGUGUGAGAAAUGGAUUGCACAGCAGCGGAUAUGCCCUACGCUACCGUCUUUAGAAGAACCCUGCUCACUUCAAGGUGAAGGGCUAUCCACGUGCUACUGGGAUGGGUUAGAAAAUAGUACCACUAAAGCAUAUUAUGAUGGAAACGACUGUGCAUGUGUAAUAGGGUUUGAAAAACUUAUUUGGCAAGGGAAAAAUAUCUCACUUCCUCCUGUGCAACACUGUGUAUGUAGUUCACACUCCUUCCCUCACCUACUAUUUCACAAGGCACGUGAUUGAGACCAUGAAUCUUGAGCACAUCAAUAAUAGGUUAAAUUUGAACUUUUCUUUGGGAAUCAGUUGGCCAACACUUUAUACUCUAUUGUGCGGAAAUGAAGAGAUAACUCAUUUCACAAUUGCCACUUGCAUGCACGGGCAAGCAUGUAGUAUAGCCACACUGUGCCAGGGGAGGGACAUUUUUAAAAUGUCUGAGUAAGCAAGGCAGCUGUUCGUGCAUCAUUGGUAUGAUAUUUCUACGGGCUGGGUUCUGCCUGGAACAGCAAUUAUAAGUAUCCUGUUGCACCCUGUGAUUAUAUUGUUUGUAUUGCUCGGGAUAGCGUUCAUUAUAACGAGUUAUAUGCGCUGUUGGAUGAAGUCUUUACAUCCUAAACUCUUUGUUCGGGAUUAAAUAUCUGGCCCUUAAACAGAUAUAAGUACAGCCCAUUCUUCACUAUGGUUUAAAGGGCCAAGCGGGGGAUAUGUCGUGUAUAAUUGAAUAAAGUUUUCUUUUUUACUAUGGUUAAUCCUAGCAAUAUGUAACGCAAGGCCAGAACAUGUUAGCUUAGAGAGCUUGGCAUUGGAAUAGGUUAUGUUUAGAUUAUGGAUUAAUAGUAUUAUAUUGAUGGGACUAUGUUUAGUAGAGAUAUAUGUAUUAUGUGUAAUCAUUUACAUAUGUAAGCUCUUUAUAUAAGCUCUUUAUAUAAGUAUAUUAAUGAUAGUAGUAUGAUUGAGUUAAGGAAUUAAAAGUUUGUGUGGGAUGUCGAUUGUGCCUGGGAAAGCGGGCUGAGUUACCAGACAGCGAGCUGGUUAACGGCUGGCUGAAGAACUAGCCUGUGGCCAGGUGCCCAGGAGAUAAGAGACAGCAAGAUGAAGGAGGAAUUCUGCAUAUCCUGCAGUUUAGCCUAACCGACAUUUCAAGACUGGAAGACUGACUUUUACAACAGGAGUGACCGCGAGCAGAGAGAACUUGGAAGAUUGAUGAGGAACAGCUGGCUGAGGACUGAGAAUGGAAAGAUACCUCGACUUCGAACAAAGACUUGAAAUCCCUGUACAAGUGGGAUCCAGCCGUGCUGAGAUGGGAAUCCGCGCUCUGCGAUCUUCCCGGGUGCUCAGGCGUGGCUGUUCCCCCCGCUCCCAUCACCCUCAAUGCGCCCGGGCUGGCCACCCAGUGCUGACCUUGAGCAAGCAAGCUGGUAACUGUAACAUCUGUACGGAGUGUGUGUGUCUGUGUGCGUGGCUGUGUGAAUGGUGUGUUUAAUGUACGUCUUAUUAUGUUUUUGCUUUAUGUAAUCCAUCCACGCGGCAUUUUGCCUUAUCCCCCUUCAUAAGGUCUGGCUCGUGAUUUGAGCAAUUGGCCGUUUGAUAGCAUUUCCUUGCAGGAGGACUCUACCGUUGGUGUGUCUGUCUUCACCCUGGAUUCAGAGGCUCUUCGCUGGCAGCAUUGACAGCACUCCUCCAGCAACUUGAGCUGUCCCCUGGACAUGGGCUACGUCUCAGCUCUGUGCAGCGUGGUGGGGAUCACGACUGCUCGAUAAACCAUGAGCUUGGUUUGGGAUCUGAUGUCGCAAUCUUCGAAGACCUGGUUCUUCAAGCGUCCAAAGGCUGCAUGUGCAUGUUUGAGAUGCUGUUGGAUUUCUUGGUUGCUGUUGGGCUCUUGGUUGCGAGAGACGGCUUCCAAGUUAUCCUCAGUAAAGAUGUGGAUGAUUGCCUGACGGUCUGAGCACACACUACGGCAUCAUCAGCAUACUGGAGCUUGAUGAUGGAGGUAGGGUGGUCUUGGUUUUGGCUUGGAGUCGGGUGAGGUUAAACAGCUUACCAUCCAUUUGGUAGUUCAGCCCCCCUCUGGUUGGAAACUUGGUGGCGGUCAGCAGGGAUCCAGGUUUUCUGUUUGCUGCGGAAAAAUGCAGAUUUUCUCAUUUAAAGGUUGUGUCCCGUGAGCCAGUUUUCCACCCACUUGACUGCGAACAAAUCCAUGUCACAGCUACUCAGUUUGCUAGUAAGAACUGGGUGCGACACCGCGCCGAAAGCCUUUUUAAAGUCCAAUUCAGUAACAUCUACCUCUACUCCUGCAUCUACGCACUUUGUGACCUGGGCAUAAAUAAAGACCAAGUUAGUCAGGCAGGAUCUGCCUGCUAUAAACCCA